rnacentral:rRNA from 1 species
UACGGGGGGUGCGAGCGUUGUCCGGAAUCACUGGGCGUAAAGAGCUCGUAGGCGGUUCGGCAAGUCGGAUGUGAAAUCUCCACGCUCAACGUGGAGGGGCCAUUCGAAACUGCCGUGACUCGAGUCCGGUAGGGGAGUGUGGAAUUCCCGGUGUAGCGGUGAAAUGCGCAGAUAUCGGGAGGAACACCAGUAGCGAAGGCGGCACUCUGGGCCGGUACUGACGCUGAGGAGCGAAAGCGUGGGGAGCAAACAGG